rnacentral:rRNA from 1 species
AGUGAACGCUGGCGGUAGGCCUAACACAUGCAAGUCGAACGGCAGCACAGUAAGAGCUUGCUCUUACGGGUGGCGAGUGGCGGACGGGUGAGGAAUACAUCGGAAUCUACUUUUUCGUGGGGGAUAACGUAGGGAAACUUACGCUAAUACCGCAUACGACCUACGGGUGAAAGCAGGGGAUCUUCGGACCUUGCGCGAUUGAAUGAGCCGAUGUCGGAUUAGCUAGUUGGCGGGGUAAAGGCCCACCAAGGCGACGAUCCGUAGCUGGUCUGAGAGGAUGAUCAGCCACACUGGAAAUGAGACACGGUCCAGACUCCUAUGUGAGGCAGCAGUUGGGAAUAUUCGCCAAAGGGCGCAAGGCUGAUCCAGCCAUACCGGGUGGGUGAAGAAGGCCUUCGGGUUGUAAAGCCCUUUUGUUGGGAAAGAAAAGCAGCAGGUUAAUACCCCGCUGUUCUGACGGUACCCAAAGAAUAAGCACCGGCUAACUUCGUG